GCAAAAGCUUUAGCUUUUGAAUUAAAUUUCACUAUUAAUAGACCCAUCACUAAAUCCUGGGCGAGAGACUAUAACAUCAGCUCAUCUGUCUUCAUAUCUUGACAUACUUCCAACAUUUUUUUGCCUCUUGGGCAUUUGCUUGUGUUUAGCAGCUCUUCUUCUCUCUCUCAUGCAUAGCAAGAGAUAAACACAACUUUUGGGCUCAUAUAUUGUAUCAUUAUUGACCCCAAUAGUUCAUACAAACAGAGAGGUUCCUAUCCAUGCAACCUCCUUCUGGAUCAUCUAGCCACAGACUAUAAUAAAUUGGAAACAUGGAGUGGGAACAAAAACAGCAGUUUCAUGAUCCAUUCCACAUGGUGGAGACCUCUUUCCGAUUUUCAUUUGGUUCCCACCAUAUAAUGUGUCAUUUCACCCGUUUUGUGUCAUAUCACCCGUUUCCCAGUAAUGCUUUAUUUGUAAGGAUGAUGGGUUUGCAUAUUUAUUGUUUUAUGUGCUAAUAUCAUGUUUUCUUUGUUAAGGUAUUGCUCUUCACGUGAGAACUUGACCAUUGACCAUGUUCUACCAACUGUACGAGGAGGAGAGUGGACAUGGGAAAAUCU
rnacentral:misc_RNA from 1 species